rnacentral:rRNA from 1 species
UACCAGCACCCCGAGUGGUCGGGACGUUUUAUUGGGCCUAAAGCAUCCGUAGCCGGUUCUACAAGUCUUCCGUUAAAUCCAACUGCUUAACAGGUGGGCUGCGGAAGAUACUAUAGAGCUAGGAGGCGGGAGAGGCAAGCGGUACUCGAUGGGUAGGGGUAAAAUCCGUUGAUCCAUUGAAGACCACCAGUGGCGAAGGCGGCUUGCCAGAACGCGCUCGACGGUGAGGGAUGAAAGCUGGGGGGAGCAAAGCCGG